rnacentral:rRNA from 1 species
UACGAAGGGGGCUAGCGUUGUUCGGAAUCACUGGGCGUAAAGGGUGCGUAGGCGGAUUCUUAAGUCAGGGGUGAAAUCCCGAGGCUCAACCUCGGAACUGCCUUUGAUACUGAAGAUCUUGAGUUCGGGAGAGGUGAGUGGAACUGCGAGUGUAGAGGUGAAAUUCGUAGAUAUUCGCAAGAACACCAGUGGCGAAGGCGGCUCACUGGCCCGAUACUGACGCUGAUGCACGAAAGCGUGGGGAGCAAACAGG